ensembl:lncRNA
UCACCUCGGGUCCGUCCCGUCGAGCAACGGUGAUGAGCACCGGGGGUGAGGAAGAAGCGCCGGGCCAAGGCGUCCGCCCUGACCCGAUGGUUCCCCCCCACCGCCGGCGCCCGUCCCGCCUCCCCAUCCCCGAAAAACCCCAUAUAAUAAGCACUCUCUGUGUGGAGCGGCUCUUUCAGAAGGGACGGACCGCCACCAAGCAGCUGGGACGGAGGAGGUGAACUAUGAUGACAGACUUGGAGAUGAAUAUGGAGCCCAGUAUACUAAUAGGCCUUUGCCUCAUUCCGUGCCCAGGAUGGAUGCGACACGUUGAAUAGGCAUCUGUAGUCUGACAGUUUGUCUGCAGAUUUGCCUGGAGCUGAAGAUACAUCUUUUGACUCUAUCCCUGCUCUGCCACUAAGUUCCUAUGUUAAGAUACUGGACUAGUCACUUAAACCAAAGCAAAGUGGGCACCAAGAGCCUCUUUUUUAUGUUGUGGGUGCCUGACUUGAGUCACUUGAAAUCUCAUUUGUGAAAGACCUAAGCAUUCAUUGCAUGCAACUGCGGCAGAAUGUUGCAAAAAUGCUCAAUAUUCUGAACAAGAUAGACACUCAGCAACUCAAACUUAAAAAUAGUAGACAGUUCUGGCCAUGAUCUCCCUGGACUUCUUUUCCUGUAUGCAAAAUACUUCUUCCAGCAUGAAGACAGCGUGACAGUUACAAGUACGUCUUUAGGAUAUGGUAUUUUUGAAGUUUCAAAUCCCCAUCAUGACAAAAAAAAUCCCAACUCACAGUUCUGAGAGGAGGACCUCCCAUACAGCUUACAUGUGUUCAGGUUGUCCUAGGUAGUUGCUUGAAUGAGCCAACUUUUGGCAUUUCUAGGUCAUUUGUACACUCAGUUUAACUGGGAAACCUUUCCCUGUCAGGAUUUCAUCAAAACUGAAAACUUCCAGCAAAGAGCUUCAGUUUUGACAGAACUUUUCUUGUCAGACAACUGCUUGGUUCACGUUUCCUGUCUGGGCUCCUGAGACUAUGGCAGGACUCUAGAAAGAGUCUACCUGUCCUGCUGUACAAGUUUCUGUUUUCAAAGGUAUUUGCUCUGGGUGAAGUCAAACUAGGCUUGCAAAGGCACCUCUUUCAUCUGAACUCUGCUAUACCAGCUAUGGAUGCUCCACUGCUGCUGCGUUAGUAGAGCAUGCUCACCUGGCUCAGGUUGUUGUGCCAUGCAACAGACACAAUCUCCUUGGUCUCCAAUAACUCUGGGCCACCUAUCCAACUUGCAAGGCCUUCAGAUUUGCCCAAAAGGGUGUGCUGCUUCUGACUUAAAGUAGCCAAUUGGUACAACAUUAUAUAAAACAUUUGAAUAAAGCUUCCACCUAUGUAAAUAUCAAA